rnacentral:rRNA from 1 species
UACAGAGGUCUCAAGCGUUGUUCGGAUUCAUUGGGCGUAAAGGGUGCGUAGGUGGCGAUGUAAGUCGGGUGUGAAAUCUCCAAGCUCAACUUGGAAACUGCACUCGAUACUGCGUCGCUCGAGGACUGUAGAGGGCAUUGGAAUUCACGGUGUAGCAGUGAAAUGCGUAGAUAUCGUGAGGAAGACCAGUGGCGAAGGCGAAUGCCUGGGCAGUUCCUGACACUGAGGCACGAAGGCCAGGGGAGCAAACGGGAUUAGAUACCCCGGUAGUCCUGGCAGUAAACGGUGCACGUUUGGUGUGGGAGGAUUCGACCCCUUCCGUGCCGGAGCAAACGCGUUAAACGUGCCGCCUGGGGAGUACGGUCGCAAGAUUAAAACUCAAAGAAAUUGACGGGGACCCGCGCAAGCGGUGGGGUAUGUGGCUUAAUUCGAUGCAACGCGAAGAACCUUACCUGGCCUUGACAUGCAUCUCUAAUCCGGUGAAAGCCGGUGAGUGUAGCAAUACACAAUUUGCACAGGUGCUGCAUGGCUGUCGUCAGCUCGUGUCGUGAGAUGUUGGGUUAAGUCCCGCAACGAGCGCAACCCCUGUGAACUGUUGCCAUGGAGACGUGAGUCUCCGGCACUCUGUUCAGACUGCCCUGUUCAACGGGGAGGAAGGUGGGGACGACGUCAAGUCAGUAUGGCCCUUACGGCCAGGGCUGCACACGUACUACAAUGCCCGAAACAGAAGGAUCCGAGACCGCGAGGUGGAGGAAAUCACGAAAUUCGGGCCCAGUUCGGAUUGGAGGCUGCAACUCGCCUCCAUGAAGCCGGAAUCGCUAGUAAUGGCGCAUCAGCUACGGCGCCGUGAAUACGUUCCCGGGUCU